UUCAUCAGACAUCUUGUCCUUAUACCCCUUAGCAAAAUGGGGUUGCAGAGAGAAAGAAUAAGCACCUCAUUGAGACUGCUCGCACACUUCUCAUUGAAUCUUGUGUUUUGCUGCGUUUUUGUGUGAUGCAGUUCUCACAACUUGUUAUUUGAUUAAUCGGAUGCCUUCAUCUCCCAUCCAGGAUCAGAUUCCAUAUUCAGUAUUGUUUCCCCAGUCACCCUAAUACUCUCUUCCCCUCGUAUUUUUGAGAGCACAUGUUUCGUUCAUAACUUAGCCCCUGGGAAAGAUAAGUUAGCUCCUCGUGCUCUCAAAUGUGUCCUCCUUGGGAUAUAUAUCGUUGUUACUCACCUGUUCUUCGUAGGUACCUUAUGUACGUCACAUUUUUUGGGUCUACACCUUUCUUUACCUCUUCUGACUACCCUGAUAUAUCUGAGGUCUUACCUAUACCGAUCUUUGAGGAGUUUACUAUAGCUCCUCCUCCACCUUCAACCACAAAAGUCUUACCUAUACCAACCGUUGAAGAGUCUAGCGUUGCUCCUCCUAGAUCCUCAGCCACAGGAACACCACUCUUGACUUAUCAUCGCCGUCCGCGCCCAGCAUCAGGCCCAACCGAUUCACGUCCUGCACCUGAACCUGCUCUUACUGCGGACUUGUCUCCUAGUACACCGAUUGCCCUUCGGAAAGUCUACAGGUGAAGCAUUGUCUCAUCCAGGAUGGCGACAUGCUAUGAUUGACGAGAUGUCUCCUUUACAUAUGAGUGGUACUUGGGAGCUUGUUCUUCUUCCUUCAGGUAAAUCUACUGUUGGUUGUCGUUGGGUUUAUGCAGUCAAGGUUGGUCCGAAUGGCAAGGUUGAUCAACUUAAGGCCCGUCUUGUUGCCAAGGGAUAUACUCAGAUACUUGGGCUCGAUUACAGUGAUACCUUCUCUCCCAUGACUAAGAUAGCAUCAGUCCGCCUUUUUCUAUCCAUGGUUGUUGUUCGCCAUUGAUCUCUCUAUCAGCUGGACAUUAAGAAUACUUUUUUACACGAUGACCUUGAGUAUGAAGUUUAUAUGGAGCAACCACCUGGCUUUGUUGCUUAGGGGGAGUCUCGUGGCCUUGCAUGUCGCUUGCGCCGGUCACUUUAUGAUCUAAAGCAGUCUCGAGCCUGGUUUGGUACAUUUUAGGAUGGAGCCUUCACGUGUUCACCCCGGUCCCUUAGAGUAUAGUGUGCUCAAGCUGCAGUCUAUGCAUAGGUUGCAUUUUGUUUGGGAAGGAGACAUUGGGGAUACUGAUCUAGUCCAUCCACGCCGUGUGGACGGUAACUUCUGGCGUCAUAUGCGAGAUCAUCCCCAGUGCGAUCGUAUCAUCCAAUGCUUAUACGGAUCAGCAUUCUGGGGAGUGUACGCCGUCGGUAGGAUACAACUUGAUUGGUCAUUGAUCACAGCGCUUUUGGAGCGUUAGCGCCCGGAGACACACACGUUCCACUUUCGAAGUGGUGAGGCAACCAUCACACUACAAGACAUUGAGAUUAUGUACGGGCUCCCCGUAGAUGGACAACCUGUGCACGCUGUAGAGGAGCAGUCAUGUUCUAUGUGGCAGGAUGAGAUGGAGCGUCUGACUGGUUUUCGCCCCCCUAUAGCAGCGUUGAAGGGUUGCAGAUUGAAGAUAUCUGCCAUUGAUGCACAUGUUACCCAGUUAGCAGAUCUUACCGAUGAUGAUCCUGAUGAGGAGGUCCAUAAGCGAUGCCGGCUUUACAUUUUAUGGAUGAUUGGUGGCCUCAUCUUCCCUGACACUUC